GACAAUUUCAAUUGUUUCUUCACUAUAAUAUCUGCAGUUUUGAUUCAUGUUUUCGACAUUUUAAAGCUCUAAAUGGCGGGAAAAUAACCAAAAAUUGAUCUGUGUUCACUUAAGAUCAAGACAGAGCAAGCAAAGGUGAUGCCAAUCAAUGACAAUGCAGUCACAGACCAGAACAGCCAGGAGGAGAUAGUUAGUUCUUUGUUGGUGAUUCGCAGACCAUCCACUGGUUAGCAAGAGAGUUAGUAAUGCCCGUGAAGGCAUCGUUGUUCAUUUGGAGGAUGGCUACUCGCUGCCAUUUGAAUCUUUUGACGAUGGCGACUCUACCAAGGUUAGAGUAAUGCUCCGAGGGGUUUGUUCUGAAGUACAGAGGAUAUGUGGACUUGGAGGAGAGAAGAGGAGUAGCGCUUGAGAACCCAAUCUGAAAAACAAGCAGGGAUGAUCCCUGCCGAGUUCCAACCACCCCUACUCGUGUCGAUUCCAAACAGCCCGCCUAUUAACAGCUUUUGACGUCCGCUCUCACCGAGACAGGGCCAAAUGAGGAUC